rnacentral:rRNA from 1 species
UACGGGGGGAGCAAGCGUUGUUCGGAUUUACUGGGCGUAAAGGGCGCGUAGGCGGCCACCGCAAGUCGACUGUGAAAUCUCCGGGCUUAACCCGGAAAGGUCAGCCGAUACUGCGGGGCUAGAGUGCAGAAGGGGCAACUGGAAUUCUCGGUGUAGCAGUGAAAUGCGUAGAUAUCGAGAGGAAUACCAACGGCGAAGGCAGGUCACUGGGCAGUUACUGACACUGAGGCACGAAGGCCAGGGGAGCAAACGGG